GACGUAUCUCUGGUGGAUCUGUUGUCCUGCCAAGGGCAUAGCAGAGUAGCUAUAUACGGAAUGGAUAACCGCUGAAGGCAUCUAAGCGGGAAACCAACCUGAAAACGAGUGUUCCCUAUCAGAGCCGUGGAAGACGACCACGUUGAUAGGACGGGUGUGGAAGCAUGGCAACAUGUGAAGCUUACCGUUACUAAUAGCUCGAUCGACUUCUUCGUUCCCAUU
rnacentral:rRNA from 1 species